GGGGGGGGGGGGGGGGGGGGGGAGGGCGGGGGGGGCGGGCGGUGGCGGGGGGAGGCUUGCGUCUUUGCUGGCGGGUGGCGGGCGGGUGGGUGGUGUCUGGGAAACGGCCUGAUGGAGGGGGAUAACUACUGGAAACGGUAGCUCAUACCGCCUCACGUCGCCAGACCAAAGAGGGGUACCUUCGGGCCUCUUGCCAUCGGAUGUGCCCAGAUGGGAUUAGCUAGUAGGUGGGGUAACGGCUCACCUAGGCGACGAUCCCUAGCUGGUCUGAGAGGAUGACCAGCCACACUGGAACGGAGACACGGUCCAGACUCCUACGGGAGGCAGCAGUGGGGAAUAUUGCACAAUGGGCGCAAGCCUGAUGCAGCCAUGCCGCGUGUAUGAAGAAGGCCUUCGGGUUGUAAAGUACUUUCAGCGGGGAGGAAGGGAGUAAAGUUAAUACCUUUGCUCAUUGACGUUACCCGCAGAAGAAGCACCGGCUAACUCCGUG
rnacentral:rRNA from 1 species